GCCGGGCCGAGCCGCGCCGAGGCGGGGGCGGCGCCUGCCCCCCCCCCCCAGCCCCUCUCCCAGCAGCCCUUGCAAACGCCUACAAUGAAAUUUGCGAAGUUUUUUCGGUUUCGGCGCCAUUUUCGAGUGGACUCGGAGGAGUUCAGGUUCCAGAUCCUUACCGUAUUAUUUAAAACUGGAUGAGAUGAUGGUGAAAAAAAUGGAACCAAAAAGCACCGUACUGUUCUUCAAUUCUGCAGUUUUGAGGAAAAACUGGAUCCUGGGAAUUUUACUGAUGUUCUGAAAUACACUGAGGAGGACUGUAUGAAACUAAAGAGACGAUAAAUGUUCUUCUGCGUUGCUUGAAGGGUGUUGCGAGAGAGCACUGUGGUGUUCACUCUAUUUCUCCUCUCCCUCCCUCAGUCAGGAAGAUGAGAUUGCUGCCAGAUGAAGGCAUGAGUUCAUAUUGAAAAAGAAGUUAAAUUGUGUCCCAAGAGAGUCAUAUUUUCAGAACAAACUGAUGCAUCAUUGCGUUCAGUCAAGUUGCAGACUUUCUGGUAGAACAGAAUUGAAGAACGUUUAACGUUUUGUAAUAAGCGAAUGUUACAAAUGUCUUCAUUGGAUUGUAUUGUGCUCUUCAGUACCUUUGUAUCAUGUUUAAAAAUAGUCAAAAUACCAUUUGGAAUUUCAACAUUGUUGGGCUUUGAGGAGAUGUAGCAGCACAUCAUGGUUUGUAGGGACAAGGAGAUACAGACCAUUCUGGGCUGCCUCAUUACCUCAAGGAUAGACAAGAAAGGGAGCUUCUGGGUGUCAGCUGUGGAAGCUACCACAUUCUCAUGUAUCUCUUAGAUCAGUUGAACAGGUAUGUUUAGAUACAUUUUUGUACUGCUUUUACAUGUACGCUUUCUUUCCAGCCUGCAAAGGUAGAGUAUUGGUUUUAUGCCUUUGGUGAAUUUGCCUAAAAUGGGUCCAGGGAUUUGCGUUAUUCUAACCUGUUGCCCCGAUCACAGGCCAUGUGAUUGUUCAAUAUUUCAUUACCUUCCAAUAUCCGUAAUAGUCUAUUAAGAUGACGCUAAGUCAUCUUUAAUGUUGUGUCUUCAGUUGACUUACACCAGUUGCAUGUUGCCUGAAGUAAUCCUGCUUCCUGUUUUCUUCAACAUUCUUUCCUCUGUUUAAGACAAAUAAAUUGUAGGUAUUAUGACAACCAUCAGGGAUUGUAAAAACGGGGUUCUGGAAGUCACAGAGACCUCUUCACAGUGGAAGCAUGUCAGCAGUGCUGUAGCAGCACGUAAAUACUGGAGUUUAGGAUUGCCUAGCUGCUCUCCAGUAUUGCAUUGCUGCUUUAGUGAGGCUGGAUGGUCGUGCCUACGGCAGGAACCAGUGCUGCUGCUGCCAGCCUGUGGUGCCUAGGGCAACAAAACAACCUUAUCGCACUGUUAAAUGUGGAGAGAUGCUGUAUGAUCAGGUUUUUAAGAGGGGUAUUAAGAGGUUUCCUGGUCUGUAGAUCUGACUUAAGAACAAAAUAAUAUGAAGGUGGGAAAAA